AUGUACCACUCCUGCCUCCGGUUCCUCCGCCGUCCCCGCGCACCUAACGACUGCUCGCUACGUUCUGUUAGCC
rnacentral:sRNA from 2 species